rnacentral:rRNA from 1 species
AGUCGAGCGAGAAGACGUAGCAAUACGUUUGUAAAGCGGCGAACGGGUGAGGAAUACAUGGGUAACCUACCCUCGAGUGGGGAAUAACUAGCCGAAAGGUUAGCUAAUACCGCGUACGCUCCUUGGACUUCGGUUCAGGGAGGAAAGCGAUGCCGUGGGUAUCGCGCUCUUGGAUGGGCUCAUGUCCUAUCAGCUUGUUGGUGAGGUAACGGCUCACCAAGGCUUCGACGGGUAGCUGGUCUGAGAGGACGAUCAGCCACACUGGCACUGCGACACGGGCCAGACUCCUACGGGAGGCAGCAGUAAGGAAUAUUGCGCAAUGGGCGAAAGCCUGACGCAGCGACGCCGCGUGGGGGAUGAAGGUCUUCGGAUUGUAAACCCCUUUCGGGAGGGAAGAUGGAGCGAGCAAUCGUUCGGACGGUACCUCCAGAAGCAGCCACGGCUAACUUCGUGCCAGCAGCCGCGGUAAUACGAAGGUGGCAAGCGUUGUUCGGAUUUACUGGGCGUACAGGGAGCGUAGGCGGUUCGGUAAGCCCUUUGUGAAAUCUCCAGGCUUAACCUGGAACAGUCGGAGGGGACUGCCGGGCUAGAGGGCGGGAGAGGAGCGCGGAAUUCCCGGUGUAGCGGUGAAAUGCGUAGAGAUCGGGAGGAAGGCCGGUGGCGAAGGCGGCGCUCUGGAACGUUUCUGACGCUGA